UUAGGUAGUUCUCCCUGACUUUCUUGUGUACAUGAUCUGCAGAGAAGAUUAGCAAGGCACCUGUGCAAGGACAGCAUGAAAGUUCAAUAAGCUUUCCAUUUUCCU